UGGGGAAUAUUGCACAAUGGGCGCAAGCCUGAUGCAGCCAUGCCGCGUGUAUGAAGAAGGCCUUCGGGUUGUAAAGUACUUUCAGCGAGGAGGAAGGCGUUGUGCUUAAUAACCGCAGCGAUUGACGUUACUCGCAGAAGAAGCACCGGCUAACUCCGUGCCAGCAGCCGCGGUAAUACGGAGGGUGCAAGCGUUAAUCGGAAUUACUGGGCGUAAAGCGCACGCAGGCGGUCUGUCAAGUCGGAUGUGAAAUCCCCGGGCUCAACCUGGGAACUGCAUCCGAAACUGGCAGGCUAGAGUCUUGUAGAGGGGGGUAGAAUUCCAGGUGUAGCGGUGAAAUGCGUAGAGAUCUGGAGGAAUACCGGUGGCGAAGGCGGCCCCCUGGACAAAGACUGACGCUCAGGUGCGAAAGCGUGGGGAGCAAACA
rnacentral:rRNA from 1 species